AAUCAGCGAUAGAAAAGAUGCCUCAUAGAGCUUAACCUUAGUUUGGCAAUGUGAAAAAAUAGAGGAUGUAGAGUAAGUAGAAGUUUGGGACCGGUGAAGUACAACUACCCUUAUUGUUCUUUUUACUUAUUCAAUGUGGGGGAGAUAGAUCAAAAAUAUCUUUCAAGUACAAAAAACAAAUCUUUUAUUGGCUGAUCCAAAAAGAGAACGUUUUCGGGUGUGAAUUUUGGUAGACGCGUUACACCUGGUAAAAGGUAACGCAAACGCCUUAAGAGGGAAUCAUGGAGAAGAAAGAAAAAAACUGAAGUAUAACAGGGUGAGAAAAUUACUCUUGCUUUCAGUUUUCAUUGUCAUAAUAAACCAUGCCGGUAUGACAAGUCGACCUUUUGUUUCUUCGUUUUUGAAGCUAAAGUCUCAUUAAAGUUACCGCAGAGAUAACUAAACUGAGGCAGUCAAGCUUUCAUGGUUAUUUUACCUUUUAUCCUUUUAAUGUCGGUUCUUCCAAUCAAGGCGAAGCAGGAUUUGGUAAGUGUAGGAUUUUUCGCCUAAUACUUGGGAACUUGAACUGGGUUUAGAUCUUUGUGAGAGAAGUUUUAUACUACUGAUG
rnacentral:ncRNA from 1 species